CUAGUGAUCCUGGACUCUUACAGGAUUCUGCCUUCCUUCACAAUUUUAUUUCCCAAAACAUAUCAAAAAAAUAUGGGAUACCUCUUUUCAUAUUUUUUUUAUAUUAAAUCAAUUCUCUAGAUGAUCUCUCAUAAAAAUUCUCCUUAAAAUAUCAUAUGUAUAAAGAGAAAAAAAUUUAUUAGCAUGGAGAGGUUGAUUUGGAUGAGAACAUAUUCUCCUAAUAAAAAAUAUUUUGAAAUCUAAUUUUAAAACCUUUAUUUUAUUAAAACUAAAUUAAAUUUGGACAUG
rnacentral:lncRNA from 1 species